UACGAAGGGUGCAAGCGUUGUUCGGAAUUACUGGGCGUAAAGGGCGCGUCGGCGGGUUUGUAAGUCGAUUGUGAAAUCCCUGGGCUUAACCCGGGAACUGCAGUCGAAACUGCAAAUCUUGAAUACCUGAGAGGAUGGCGGAAUUCCCGGUGUAGUAGUGAAAUACGUAGAUAUCGGGAAGAACACCUGAGGCGAAGGCGGCUAUCUGGCAGUGUAUUGACGCUGAGGCGCGAAAGCGUGGGGAGCAAACAGG
rnacentral:rRNA from 1 species